UACAGAGGGGGCAAGCGUUGUUCGGAAUUACUGGGCGUAAAGGGCGCGUAGGCGGCCUUCUAAGUCGAACGUGAAAUCCCCGGGCUCAACCCAGGAACUGCGUCCGAUACUGGAAGGCUUGAAUCCGGGAGAGGGAUGCGGAAUUCCAGGUGUAGCGGUGAAAUGCGUAGAUAUCUGGAGGAACACCGGUGGCGAAGGCGGCAUCCUGGACCGGCAUUGACGCUGAGGCGCGAAAGCCAGGGGAGCAAACGGG
rnacentral:rRNA from 1 species